rnacentral:rRNA from 1 species
UGGGGAAUCUUAGACAAUGGGGGAAACCCUGAUCUAGCCAUGCCGCGUGAGUGACGAAGGCCCUAGGGUCGUAAAGCUCUUUCGCCAGGGAAGAUAAUGACGGUACCUGGUAAAGAAACCCCGGCUAACUCCGUGCUAGCAGCCGCGGUAAUACGGAGGGGGUUAGCGUUGUUCGGAAUUACUGGGCGUAAAGCGCACGUAGGCGGACCAGUCAGUCAGAGGUGAAAUCCCAGGGCUCAACCUUGGAACUGCCUUUGAUACUGCUGGUCUGGAGUCCGAGAGAGGUGAGUGGAAUUCCGAGUGUAGAGGUGAAGUUCGUAGAUAUUGGGAAGAACACCAGUGGCGAAGGCGGCUCACUGGACCGGAACUGACGCUGAGGUGCGAAAGCGUGGGGAGCAAACAGGAUUAGAUACCCCGGUAGUCC